rnacentral:lncRNA from 1 species
GUGACAUUGAGGGUGCCUUUGGUAGUUUUCCAUUAUAAAAUGAUUUUUUUGAUAUUUUUAUAAAAUGAGGGUAGCUAUAUGAUAAUGACCUUUAACAUUUGUCUAUAUAAACAGUUGAUUCGGUGGCCGGUCAUAUACUCCCAUUAAAAACUUAAUAAAAGAAGGGGACCCUUUAUUUUUAUUAUAUCUUUUUGUAAAUUAGAAAGCCAAUUGCUUGUCAAAAACUUUCAAGCUUCUUGCUUUCUGAUUCUGGCUGUGUGUGUCGAGAUGGUGCUGCCGCCUGUUUUGACAAUCGUAAUUCUGCAACUGCAAGCCUCAGGGAGGAAAGUGCAAACGUUGUCCCUGCCUCUGCCUCUGCCUCGAUCAUGAAUCUCAACUUCUAUUGGGAUGCAAUCAAAGCUGAAAGCACGGGUCCAAAUUAGGAUGUAGAAGUCUUUAUUUAAAAUAUUUAUUUUAUUUUAUUUGCAUCUCAAAUCAACUUAUUUAAAGUAACUUUGGGGAUAAAAAUGUAAUUUUCGUUCUAAUUUGUUUUUUAAUUUUAUUUAAAGCAUAUGGGGUCAAAUUCAAAUUUUAUUGGGGGAUGAUUCUAUUCGGUUAAAGUAUAAAUGUAAUUUAAAAAAAAAAAGAAGAAUUAGACUCGGCUCCACAAUAUGUGUAUAUAUUUUUUAAGAUAGAGAGGUAGACAAAGUUUAAAUAAAUUUUUUUAUCUUCUACCUUCCUUAAGAUUCAAAUUCAUGUAGCCAGUUAAAUAAAUCUACAUAAAAAUCACUUAGGUAGUCCCUAAAGAUAGUGUAAUUGUGCUGCUAUGCUCAAUUAAUACUUUUAACAGAUGAUUAUUUUAACAGCUAAUUACUAUUAAUUUUUAAUAAAAAGUUGUACGAUUAACAAACAAAAUCUAAAUAACAAAUAUAAUUUUGACUUUUUAGAAAAUUUGUUAAAAAAUAGAUUUCUCUAUGAUAUGUUAAAAGAACUACAGUUUCAAUAGUGGGGUUAUUAUGAACCAUUUGAUUUAAAAUGAAAUACUUCCAAUAGAUAGUUAGUUGUUACCCAAAUCACAAGUAAUCCUUAAAUCUUAAUUUAAUUUGUAUUUAGCUUAUAUCCUAUUGUUACAAUUUUUUUAUAAGUCAUAAAUAAUUAUUUUUAAUCAUUGAUUCAUUGUA